GUUAGUGGUUUAUAACAAUGAUUUUGUUUGUUUGUUUGUUUUUGUAAUGAAUCGCCAGAUCGAUGUCAGAUUUUAUGUGCCUUAACUGCUGUUAGAUGCGUCGUCUAAAGACAACCUAUUAAGCAAAUGAGCUAGCAGUAGAGCUAAGCCAUCUUUUACAUAUAGCUUAAAAGGCAGUAGAAUCUAAAAUCAAUAUUCUUCCUGUUUGACGUUUAGCAACUCGUGGCUUAUACAAAAAAUUCUUUUUUCCCCCUUGAAUGGCUAGACAUCAACUUAAAAAUGGGGAAUACAUCUGGUUGGCUAUUGUUAUGUUUAAUCGAAUAUGGAAAUUUGAGUUCUUUCAUUCAUUCUGCUGGGGCUUAUUCAUGAGCUGCAAAACUUUUUUGGGUGAUGCGGUCAUGCUAUGCAGGUGAGGCAUUCGUCCUCAAGGCAAAAAGGUGCCGCACGACUCCAACAAAGUACAGCGCUAUGCAGUUUGUUUGUAAACGUAUUUAGUCUUCCACCAGUAAAAAAAAAGUAAUCGUAUGUGCGUAAAAAGCUCAGAUGGGUUCCUUUGCCACCUACGAUUCAUCCUAGUUCAAUUUUCAUAUUCAAUGUGAUACAAGUUGAAUCGUGAAAAUGUUCUGUCCGGUUCCCGCAGCGCACUGAGAGUUUUCUAGGGUACCUAGUCUAACACAGACAUACAGACACAUUAAAGAGGAGCCAAGAUAAUGCAACAAAAACAAUACUAUUCAAAAGAGACAAAAAAAAUUUGUUCCAACCAAAUUUUUAUAGAAAUUGGUCCAUAUACUGCAUUGGCAGUGAAAAGCAUGACAAAAACUGGGUAAGAUAGAUUCAAAUUUAUGAGGAACUGCGAAAUAAUUUGAUGAUUUGGCUCUAGGAGGGAGCAUGUUCAACACUUAUCCAGCAACAUACCACUGGAAACGAAAAAAAAAACAAAAAAACAAAAAGAACAGAAGAGACUCAAGGAAUCGUAACUAUUUCGUAGUUUCGAAAAUGUUAGCAAAAUAGGAAGAAAGAGAUAGUUUGACAGGAAUGUCCAGAUAGCGCUCGGUUCGUAGCUUCAAAAACAGGACGAACAAAUCAAACAUAAAAUCACAGAACGGUUUUCGGAGGAAAACAAAAAUAGAGGGAAACGCAAACAUAACAGCGAGUCUAUCGCAAAAAAAUAUCAGGCAGCAGACCGGAGCUUUCUUCCGAUUAAACAAUUGGGAGAACCGUAUCUCUGACUACAGCGAUACAAGCACCAGCACGUCCAGAUGGAAGUGGUGCAAACUGCGAUCGAAUUAAACAAUAAAUUGGAAAUCAGACCAGAAAACGAAAUCUCACCAAAAAGAAGAAACUAUUCUUACCUGUUGCCACAAAUUUGUAAGAGGGUCGUACGCUUCAACGAAGUUGAGAUAAGCUUGACCAUCGAAUCCACCAACAAUGAACAACCUAUCACCCAUAAAGGCUACACCCAUUGCAUCGCGACCGUUCUUCAUUGAAGUCACUAUCAUCCAGGAGUCUGACAGCGGAUCAUACCUUCAAAAGAAAAAUCCAGGUAAAAGAGACGAAAACACGUCGAACAACGGUAAUAGGAUAAAACCCGAACCUUUCAACACAAUCAAAUCGGGCCGCUGAUGGAUUUGAAGCGGGUGCGUCGUGACCACCAAAAGCAUAGAGAAAUCCAUGCGCUACGGCAACACCUACUCCACCUCGUCGUUUGCUCAUCGGAGCUACCAAUGUCCAACGAUUGGUGUGUGGAUCAUAGCACUCGACUGUGCGAAGACAAGAACUCCCAUCUCGGCCACCCACAGCGUAGAGCCUACAAUCAUACUGCUGCAACACCAACGGUGGAGCGCUGACUAUUCAUUGGAGCCACAAAGCUCCACUGGCGGGUGACAGGAUCCCAGCGUUCAACACUAUUGAGGUAUGACCAACCAUCAUGGCCUCCUACUGCAUACAAUGGUCCUUCAAGGCUGGCUACGCCCAGUCCUUUGUAGGCGAAAAAUAAAAAGUCAUGACAGUGAACUAGAAAAUGCAACCAAAUUCUAAGAAAAAUAGGUACCAUGACGAUGCGUUGCCAUAGGGGGCAUACUGCUCCAUACUGCAUAAAAAAUAGAAUGAAUAUUAGCAUUCAAAGUUUUCAGUUUUUUUUCACCUAUAACACAAUGAUUGGCCGUGUUGGUGAGAUGUAACUAACGGCGCAAAGAAAUUAACACCAACACCGUGAAAUCUCGCUACUAAGGUAUACGAAUAUUACUAGCCUUUGGUCCAUGGAUCCCAGCAUUCCACCUGGAUCGUUAAAACAUACGCGUUAAGAUAGAUUCACACAUGGCCAAAUGUAACGUACC